UGAUAGCUGUGAAACGGAGAUUGCUGCUAUGUGGCAGGUAACUUCGCGGAGCGAAUGUCAAGUUCAAGAAACUGGCGACAA
rnacentral:ncRNA from 1 species